GAACGCAUCUUGCGCUCGCUGGUAUUCCGGCGAGCAUGUCUGUUUGAGUGUCGUGAACUCUUCAACCCCCAAUUUUUCUUUAUUGAGAUUUUGGCGCGGCUUGGUUUCUGAACGUUUUUGCUGGAAACCACCUUCGGGUGGAAUCGAAGCUCGUUCGUAAUACAUUAGCAUCCUAAUCUUCGAGAUCAGAUUGACUCGGCGUAAUAGACUAUUCGCUGAGGACAUGGCGUCCCCUUAAAAAGGGAGUCGUGGCUGGACUUGGACAGCUGGAAGCUUACAAAACCCGACAAUUUAGUCAAUCAUUUUUAAAGAUUAGACCUCAGAUCAGGCAGGAUUACCCGCUGAACUUAAG
rnacentral:misc_RNA from 1 species